rnacentral:lncRNA from 1 species
GAAUCUGAAGAUUCCUAUGCAAGAGGGCAGAUAGAAUCUUAUUCAUUUCCACUCAUGGAACAUAUGCCAACACUAUCAUCCAGUGGAUGCCAAGGAAAACCCUGAGUUCCCAGCACCUCUCAGGAUGUUUCAUGCCCCAGUGCAGCUCAACAAGCUGCUCUAUAGGCUGUUACUACCCUGUGGAAGCAGCUUCAUUAAAGGACAAUGGCCUGGAACAAAGCUGGAAAAUCUAUAUCUACAUCUAUAUCUAUAUCUAUAUCUAUCUAUCUAUACUCC